rnacentral:lncRNA from 1 species
CAGGGGGUGGACGCGCUCCUCAGCAGAGGGUGGACGCGCUCCUCAGCAGGGGGUGGACGCGCUCCUCAGCAGGGGGUGGACGCGCUCCUCAGCAGGGGGUGGACGCGCUCCUCAGCAGGGAGUGGACGCGCUCCUCAGCAGGGGGUGGACGCGCUCCUCAGCAGAGGGUGGACGCGCUCCUCAGCAGGGGGUGGACGCGCUCCUCAGCAGAGGGUGGACGCGCUCCUCAGCAGAGGGUGGACGCGCUCCUCAGCAGGGGGUGGACGCGCUCCUCAGCAGGGGGUGGACG